GUCGCGGUGCCGGAGUGGUUAACGGGCGGCCCUGCUAUACUUUCCUAGCAGCUGAGGCCGUGUCCUCGGACGCGCAGGUUCGAAUCCUGUCCUCGACG